GAUGAACGCUGGCGGCGUGCUUAAUACAUGCAAGUCGAGCGAACGUACGAGAAGCUUGCUUCUCUGAUGUUAGCGGCGGACGGGUGAGUAACAUAUCGAUAACCUACCUAUAAGACUGCGAUAACUUCCGGAAACCGGAACUACUACCGGCUAUUAUUUUGAACCGUAUGGUUCAAAAGGGAAAGAUGGUCUUGCUGUCACUUAUAGAUGGAUCCGCGCUGCAUUGGCUAGUUGGUAAUGUAACGGCAUACCACGGCAACGAUGCAUAGCCGAUCUCAGAGCGAGGACGACCAGACGGGAACUGAGACAGGACCCAGACUCCUACGCGAAGCCACAGUACGGAAUCCUACGCGAUGGGGCAGAGCCUGACAGAGCAACACCGCGUGAGUGCUGAUGGUCUUCGGCUGGUAAAGCUCUGAUGUUAGGGAAGAAGAUAUGUGUAAGUAGCUGUGAAGAUCUUGACGGUACCUAACCAGAAAGCACCGGCUAACUACGUG
rnacentral:rRNA from 1 species